rnacentral:rRNA from 1 species
UACGUAGGGUGCGAGCGUUGCCCGGAUUUAUUGGGCGUAAAGCGCUCGUAGGCGGUUUGUCGCGUCGGCCGUGAAAUCUCCACGCUUAACGUGGAGCGUGCGGUCGAUACGGGCAGACUUGAGUUCGGUAGGGGAGACUGGAAUUCCUGGUGUAGCGGUGAAAUGCGCAGAUAUCAGGAAGAACACCCGUGGCGAAGGCGGCUCUCUGGAACGCAACUGACGCUGAGACGCGAAAGCGUGGGGAGCAAACAGG